UGAGUGUUUAUAGUGCUGUGAGUUUAACACUUCAUGACUGAGAUCAGAACAGAACAGAAUCUUCAUCAACACACAAACCAAAAGAACAACAAUGACUUUCAUCAUCAUCUUCAUCUGGACACUUUUUAUCCAAGGUGUCAGUGGACAGAUAACUGUGACUCAAACUCCCGCUGUUAAAACUGUUCAGACUGGUGAAUCUGUCACUAUAAACUGCAAAACAAAUACACAAGUGAGCAACGGUUGUACUGGUUCAUAUACUUGUAUGGCCUGGUACCUGCAGAAACCUGGAGAAGCUCCUAAACUCUUGAUUCAUUCUGCAAGUCAAAGACUCUCAAACACUCCAUCAAGAUUCAGUGGCAGCGGAUCAAGAACAGAUUUCACUUUGACCAUCAGUGGAGUUCAGACUGAAGAUUCAGGAGAUUAUUACUGUCAGAGUUAUCAUGAUGGUGGUGUGUUGACACAGUGAUAAAGAGUGAUACAA